GACGAACGCUGGCGGCGUGCUUAAUACAUGCAAGUCAACUUGACUUUAGAUAGCAAUAUCGAAAAGUAGGGUGGCGCACGGGUGCGUAACGCGUAGGUAAUCUGCCCUGAGGUCUGACAUAACCCGUCGAAAGCGGCUAACAUCAGAUGAUAUAUAAUCACGACAUCGUGGAAAUAUCAAAUCUUCGGAGCCUUGGGAUGAGCCUGCGUCUGAUUAGGUAGUUGGCGGAGUAAUAGCCCACCAAGCCUACGAUCAGUAGCUGGUCUGAGAGGAUGAUCAGCCACACUGGAACUGAGACACGGUCCAGACUCCUACGGGAGCAGCAGUAAGGAAUAUUGCUCAAUGGGGAAACCCUGAAGCAGCAACGCCGCGUGAAGGAUGAAAUACUUUUGUAUGUAAACUUCUGUAAGAUGGGAAAAAUAUUCUCCUCGGGAGAAUUGAUUGUACCAUCAGAGUAAGCCCCGGCUAACACGUGCCAGCA
rnacentral:rRNA from 1 species